AAGUCGUAACAAGGUUUCCGUAGGUGAACCUGCGGAAGGAUCAUUAACACGUAUCCAAACGUUAACCCCCCUGUGAACCUUUAGUGUGCUCGCAGGCGCGUCUGACAUGCAUUAAGUUGUGAUUAAGGGGCGUGAGCCCGGUGACCCGGUCGUCGGCCGUGUCGGCCUCCAACGAUCGUGACUGCGCCAUCCUUACACAGCCAGUGACACUUUCAGACACCAACUGCUUCGGAAUGCCAGGCCACUUGCCUCGCGCUGCGAGCACACUCUUUGUGGAAGUCCCUAAAUCGAAAACUGUUCGGCGAUGAUUUACUAGGGAUUGCCACGCUCUGACACGAACAACUGUUAACAAUGGAUAUCUUGGUUCUC
rnacentral:misc_RNA from 1 species